rnacentral:rRNA from 1 species
CACGGGGGGAGCAAGCGUUGUUCGGAAUCACUGGGCGUAAAGGGCGUGUAGGCGGUCAGGUAAGUGAGAUGUGAAAUGCCCCGGCUCACCCGGGGACCGGCAUCUCAUACUGCUUGGCUUGUGUACGGGAGAGGAUGUGGGAAUUCCUGGUGUAGCGGUGAAAUGCGUAGAUAUCAGGAGGAACACCGGUGGCGAAGGCGCACAUCUGGCCCGAUACUGACGCUGAGGCGCGAAAGCUAGGGGAGCAAACGGG